rnacentral:lncRNA from 9 species
GAGAGAAUUAAGCUUAGAACCCGGGAGUGGGGUGGGGGGAGCGCGUUUCCUUGGAAACGGCACACAACAUCGCGCACAGAUAUUUGUGCAGUGCUGGGUUUGGAACGAGUGGGUGUUCGUGGCUUGGGGAGAACCCUAACCCCGACACACGGCAGCCCCCUCGGUUACUCGGAUGCUUAGCGUAGGUUUCGGAUCCACGCGGACCAGAAGGGGAAAGAAGCUGGGCGCCGGGCGCUGUUGGACCCACGUUCCUCCUGGGAAAGCCUUCUGCACAUUGACCAUCAACAGCAUCUGCUCACUUGGUGUCCACGUGGUCCUUCUCCAAGGGACAGCUCACCAUCUCCUGGCUCAGAUUCCACACCUGUUGUCUUAGAAGCUUCCACAUUCUCUGGUCUGUUCCCUUGGGAGCUUCCGCCCGGCCUGGAGGACCCUCCUGACACAGCUGAGAGAGAUGGAGGUGGACGUGAGCCCCUCCUUGCCUUCCGGCUCCCUGGGUGUGGGCCCCCUGGGUCUGAGCCCUCCCACCCCUCGCUGCAGACUUACCAUGGGCCCUGCACCGGUCCCCAGGCAGCUCCCACCCCUUCCCCAGGGGACCACGUCCUUGCCACACUUGGCCCUCGGGCCGUCCCUGGGCCUGCCCCUCGGGAAAUGUGGCCCGAUAUUUGCUAAAACUCAAAAGACUCCCGCUGGUUGAGACGAUGGGCCAGGGUCCUUAGCCCAAGAGGCCAGAAGGAGCCCACGCGUUGGGUGUUUCCUGAGUUAUUCACAUUGGAUGCCACACUUCCUGGCUCUAAGAUCGCUAUCUUCUCCGGCUUCCAAAGCAGUGCCUGUCACGUUCCAGCUGUUAGAGAAAGUCCCAGACCUUGGAAGAAACACCGGCCUUUCCUCCCUGCCUUGAAUGUCUGCAGUGCUCUGGUGACGUCCAGGUUCCCCGGAGAGUUUCCUUGUCCCCCGUGGGGCAGUCCACUGAGAAGGCCACCACCACGCAGUGGCGAGGCCCUGCCGGUCCAGGUGAAGAGGGAGCUGGCGUGAGAAGCGGGGCUGCGUGCACGCCGCGGUGACGAAGCACAGUGUCACCAUUUGUCUCCAGGUUUCUCCCACCAGCGGCUGAUGGAGAGCAAAGCGGAGAAGCCCAGGAGGCCGGCUUUCUGUUCCCCAGGCAGCACGUGGGGAGGGGAGAAAGGCCUGACGCUUCUGCAGCCACACGCCAAGGGUGGCCUCUGCCUGGCAGAAAAUCAGCGGGUCCAGAGUUAAGUCUCUGGUAAGCUUCUUUGUAAAUUCAACGUGUUUGUUUAUUUUAAGAGGUUUU